AGGGAAAUUAACGUGUCGGUUAAUAGGUAUAUGUUAUACUGUUAUGUAUAAUGAUAUGCAUACGAUUUAUAAUCGUCAAGUGUGUAUUUGUUUUAAUUUUUAAUUGCCAUUAAUACUCAUCAUUGACUGCAAUUAUAUAUUAUAUAUUAUACAAAUGUAAAUUUACACCUAUGCAAAACCACUUUAUCCUUUCGUUAAAACUAAACGUAAUGCCCUGCGUAUAAUAUCAACACCCAGCAAUAACGACGUGUAGGAAUAGAGUGGAUAGAUUAUGCAUAAUUUAUGUAGACAUAUUUGGUGAAGAAGUACCUAACAAGUAACAAUAAACAAUGACAAUUAUCAUUUUAAUCCAUUUAAUGAAGUUGAAGACUGAAGCCAAUCGAAGGUAUACAUUUUUUUGUAUUCUGCAAUAUUUACUACAAUAUACAUACAUUCAAUUCAUUGUUGACUACGGUGAGGAUGUGUUUCCAAAUAAGUCGAAGAGCUGCAAAAAGUUAGACAGAUAGUAUGGUUAAUUUUUAAUGCCUAUAUAUAUGUUAUAUAUUUUAAAGAAAGGUGACCCACAAAUCAUACAACCCACGUUCAAAUCCAGCAUUGUGGCGACGGGACUACUAUCAUUUAUUAGACACAAAAAAAUGUUCAAUAUUCAAUCAUUGCAAUUUCUUAUGUUUACCAGGUAUAAUUAUUUGUCUUAUUAUUAUUUUACAUUUACAUAUAAAACAAAAAAAAAAACCUGAAAAAUUGAAAAGAAAUUAAUACAAAAUAUUAUAUUCAUCUUAAAAAUUUAUAUAUAAAAUAAAAUAUUAAUUAAUAUUAAUUUAAUAAUUAAAUGCUCUUAUCGCCGUCAAUUACAUCAUUAUUUAUCAGAUUAAUGAAUACGUGUCAGUGUGUCACGAAGUUAUCGUUGUUAUAUUGUUCAAUAAUAAAAAUAACGUAAUCUUUUUAUCGUUUUGCACGAAUUCUAAAUCGUUAUCCGUCGCUAAUAUAACAGUUUAGUUGUUAUUAUGUUAAGUAUUGUACAAGUUCGCAUGCAGUUUAAAAUAAAACAGAAAUUGACUCUGAGAUCGUAUUUUUUACAGAGUGGUUAAAUAGAGGUAUGUGCAGUAUAAAUAAAUAAUAAUUGAAUAGAAAAAAUUAAAAAAAAAAAAAAAAAUGUUUAGUUAUUUCAUAUAGCAUUAUAGCCACUCAUAAACUUAAGACCUAUAAGUUUGUAUAAUAAAUUACAUACAUAAUACGGGUCAAAAAUAAUAAAUUCCAAAUUUAUGAGA